rnacentral:rRNA from 1 species
CCUACGGGAGGCAGCAGUGGGGAAUUUUGGACAAUGGGCGCAAGCCUGAUCCAGCAAUGCCGCGUGAGUGAAGAAGGCCUUCGGGUUGUAAAGCUCUUUUGUCAGGGAAGAAACGGUGGGGGCUAAUAUCCCUCGCUAAUGACGGUACCUGAAGAAUAAGCACCGGCUAACUACGUGCCAGCAGCCGCGGUAAUACGUAGGGUGCAAGCGUUAAUCGGAAUUACUGGGCGUAAAGCGUGCGCAGGCGGUUUUGUAAGUCUGUCGUGAAAGCCCCGGGCUCAACCUGGGAAUUGCGAUGGAGACUGCAAGGCUUGAAUCUGGCAGAGGGGGGUAGAAUUCCACGUGUAGCAGUGAAAUGCGUAGAGAUGUGGAGGAACACCGAUGGCGAAGGCAGCCCCCUGGGUCAAGAUUGACGCUCAUGCACGAAAGCGUGGGGAGCAAACAGGAUUAGAUACCCUGGUAGUCCACGCCCUAAACGAUGUCUACUAGUUGUCGGGUUUUAAUUAACUUGGUAACGCAGCUAACGCGUGAAGUAGACCGCCUGGGGGAGGUACGGUCGCGAGAGUUAAACGUAACGAAGGAAGUUAGACGGCGUGAGACGUGCCGACGGACGACGACGAGGGAGGAGG